rnacentral:rRNA from 1 species
AGUGAACGCUGGCGGUAGGCCUAACACAUGCAAGUCGAACGGCAGCACAGUAAGAGCUUGCUCUUACGGGUGGCGAGUGGCGGACGGGUGAGGAAUACAUCGGAAUCUACUUUUUCGUGGGGGAUAACGUAGGGAGACUUACGCUAAUACCGCAUACGACCUACGGGUGAAAGCAGGGGAUCUUCGGACCUCGCGCGAUUGAAUGAGCCGAUGUCGGAUUAGCUAGUUGGCGGGGUAAAGGCCCACCAAGGCGACGAUCCGUAGCUGGUCUGAGAGGAUGAUCAGCCACACUGGAACUGAGACACGGUCCAGACUCCUACGGGAGGCAGCAGUGGGGAAUAUUGGACAAUGGGCGCAAGCCUGAUCCAGCCAUACCGCGUGGGUGAAGAAGGCCUUCGGGUUGUAAAGCCCUUUUGUUGGGAAAGAAAAGCAGCAGGUUAAUACCCCGCUGUUCUGACGGUACCCAAAGAAUAAGCACCGGCUAACUUCGUG